UUAAAAAACGAUUCUACACAUCCUAUUAGUCAGUGGCCCAGAUGAGAUGGCCCGUACCCGAGUCCCCACCAUUGUAGAAGAGGCGGGUACCUUUGAAACUUUUGAAAUUGGUGCAACAGCAAAAACACUGUGCGAUACGACUUAAUUUUCUCGAGAUAGAAGCAAAAAUGUGGGAAGAAGAAGCGAAUGGUAUAAGAAAGGAGGAAGAAGAAGCGCUGUUGGACCUCAUUGACCAACAAACUAAGAAUGUCCAAAAGCUUGCAAAAGCAAUCGCUUAUUAUACUUCUAAGUUUGAGCAAAAAGAGAAGAACUUAGAGGAGUUACAACAGGAACUUGCUCGCCUCCGGGGUCGGGUCAAUGUGGCAACAUCCACAAGGUAUCAUGUGAAUGACUUCAAUCCAGUGAAAGUUGAAAGACGAUCCAUGAGUCCUAUUCAGAUAAGUGAUGAUUCUUCUGCAAGCCUCUCUGAGUGUGAACCCCAACCUGACAAAGACAACAUCUUGCCACUUAAGAAAUCUUCAACACUUGAUAAAAAAAUGCCAAGUCUUUUUCAGAAAAACAAUGAUAAUUCCGGAAAGCUGUCCCGAGCAAAACCACUACUUAUCAUUCCUGAUGUCAAACCAAUGGUCUCCCUACCUUUAAAGACGGUAGAAUCUAGUCCCAUCCCAUGUUGUUCUGAUUCUUGUGCUGGAAUGUCAGUUUUUUCUUUUCGUAACACUCGUAUUGUAAGGUCAAAAGCAGAUAUUAGCGCAAAAACCCCUCCUGACAUCGGAGCUGUUGAGAUUCAAUGCAAAGGAACAAAGCGGAAGUCUGAGCAUAAAGAGCUGAUUCCAUUGAUAGGUAGAUCCUCGUCAGCGAACACGCUAAAUUGCCAGACAUGCAGUGUCAUGCAUAGUCAACACAAGCGAAAGAUGAGAACUAUUGUCUUGUGUCCUACAGAUGAUCAACUUUUUGCAAGCAGUUCACUGGAUGGGGUUGUCAACUUGUGGCAGGUGCAGGAUAGGGGGUCAUCUGCCAAUCUUCUCAGUAGCAUUGAUUGCUUUACACGUAAGUGUAGAAGAUGGCCAGAAGACGUAGCCUGGCAUCCAGAAGGUGGCAGUCUUUUUUCUGUGUACAGUGCUGAUGAUGGGGAUUCACAAAUUUCAAUAAUGAAUCUUAACAAGGGAAAAGAGAAUAUGCGAGUGUAUUUCUUGGAGGAGAAGCCCCAUGUCAAAGGAAUCAUUAACAACAUAAUGUUCAUGCCAUGGGAGGAGGGCUGUUUUGUUACUGGUGGUAGUGAUCAUGCAGUUGUCUUGUGGACUGAUAAAGAUGGAGAACAGUCAUGGAAGCCUAAAGAGUUGCAUAGAGGGCAUUCUUCUGCUGUAAUGGGAGUUGCUGGUUUGCAGCAUAAAAAAGUUGUGAUGUCUGCAGGUGCCGAUAAGCGUAUACUUGGAUUUGAUUUACUAGCUCAGAGAAUAGGUUACAAGCAUCAUGAAGAAAGUAAAUGCAUGAGUGUUCUGCCUAAUCCACACGACUUGAAUCUAUUUAUGGUUCAGACGGGGACCUUAGAGAAGCAGCUUCGCUUGUUUGAUUUUAGGUCGAGGCAAGCAGAGAUUCAUUCUUUUGGGUGGAAACAAGAAAGCAGCGACUCACACUCGGCUCUUAUAACUCAGGCUUGGUCACCUGAUGGUUUGUACAUUUCAUCUGGCUCAGUUGAUCCUGUCAUUCACAUAUUUGAUAUACGGUACAAUUCUCAUAAUCCUUGCCAGUCCAUUAGAGCUCAUCAGAGGCGAGUCUUCAAAGCUGUUUGGCACCAUACUCUCCCAGUCCUCAUUUCUAUAUCUUCUGAUUUGAACAUUGGAUUUCAUAAAAUUGUUUGAGGUGCAUAAAGAGGUGUUUUGCCUUUCCUUUUGUUCCCAUUCAUUUCAGAAGUUGUCGCUAGGAAGAAAUAUUGAGGUUCUAGGCCAAAGAAGUUCACCACGUGGGCUCUGAUACAACAGUGUUUGGUAUCCGCAUUGGAGUCCGAUUAAUCCUGUUCGCGUCAGGUAGGGUCCCAUUUGGGAAUAGUGCUCCCUACCAAGGAUUUUUUCAUACUCAAGGAUCGAACCCGAGACCUUUGGUUAAGAAAGAAGCAGCCCCAUCCACUGCACCACAUCCUUUGGUGAUUAAUCGAGCUGAUUUCAAGAUAUGAAAGUAGGGUGGCACACUCUUUAAACUUUCGUAGGUUAUUCCUUUUUAGACUUUGGUUAUUAAACAUCAUUGACUCAAACUAAAUUAUAGAGAAAGUUAAUAUGGAGACAGAGAAGUCAUCCAAUUUCUAUAAUUACAUGCAACAAAGUGGAGCAGAUUAAAAAGUGAUGCUUCCCAAAAGCUCCACAAUGCUUACAUGUCAAUCCACAUGGUUUUUAAUUUUUAAACUAAUACAAUAAUUAAUCAGCAUGUAGGGU